rnacentral:rRNA from 1 species
UACGUAGGGUGCGAGCGUUAAUCGGAAUUACUGGGCGUAAAGCGUGCGCAGGCGGUUCGUUGUGUCGGCGGUGAAAGCCCCGGGCUUAACCUGGGAAUGGCCGUUGAAACUGGCGAACUGGAGUGUGGCAGAGGGGGGGUGGAAUUCCGCGUGUAGCAGUGAAAUGCGUAGAGAUGCGGAGGAACACCGAUGGCGAAGGCAGUCCCCUGGACCUGUACUGACGCUCAUGCACGAAAGCGUGGGGAGCAAACAGG